rnacentral:rRNA from 1 species
CCUACGGGCGGCAGCAGUGAGGAAUAUUGGUCAAUGGACGAGAGUCUGAACCAGCCAAGUAGCGUGAAGGAUGACUGCCCUAUGGGUUGUAAACUUCUUUUAUAUGGGAAUAAAAUGUUCCACGUGUGGGAUUUUGUAUGUACCAUAUGAAUAAGGAUCGGCUAACUCCGUGCCAGCAGCCGCGGUAAUACGGAGGAUCCGAGCGUUAUCCGGAUUUAUUGGGUUUAAAGGGAGCGUAGGUGGAUUGUUAAGUCAGUUGUGAAAGUUUGCGGCUCAACCGUAAAAUUGCAGUUGAAACUGGCAGUCUUGAGUACAGUAGAGGUGGGCGGAAGUCGUGGUGUAGCGGUGAAAUGCUUAGAUAUCACGAAGAACUCCGAUUGCGAAGGCAGCUCACUGGACUGCAACUGACACUGAGGCUCGAAAGUGUGGGUAUCGAACAGGAUUAGAUACCCUGGUAGUC